CGCGGGAUGGAGCAGUCCGGUAGCUCGUUGGGCUCAUAACCCAAAGGUCGCAGGUUCGAAUCCUGCUCCCGCUACAA
rnacentral:tRNA from 3 species